rnacentral:rRNA from 1 species
AUUGAACGCUAGCGGCAUGCCUUACACAUGCAAGUCGAACGGCAGCGGGGGAGCUUGCUCCCGCCGGCGAGUGGCGAACGGGUGAGUAAUACAUCGGAACGUACCCAGUAGCGGGGGAUAGCCCGGCGAAAGCCGGAUUAAUACCGCAUACGCCCCACGGGGGAAAGGGGGGGAUCGCAAGACCUCUCACUAUUGGAGCGGCCGAUGGCUGAUUAGCCAGUUGGUGGGGUAAAGGCCUACCAAGGCGACGAUCAGUAGCUGGUCUGAGAGGACGACCAGCCACACUGGGACUGAGACACGGCCCAGACUCCUACGGGAGGCAGCAGUGGGGAAUUUUGGACAAUGGGCGAAAGCCUGAUCCAGCAAUGCCGCGUGUGCGAAGAAGGCCUUCGGGUUGUAAAGCACUUUUGUCAGGGAAGAAAUCGUUUGGGUUAAUACCCCGAGCAGUUGACGGUACCUGAAGAAUAAGCACCGGCUAACUACGUGCCAGCCGCCGCAGUAA